GACGAACGCUGGCGGCGUGCUUAACACAUGCCAGUCGAACGGUAAGGCUCCAGCUUGCUGGGGUACACGAGUGGCGAACGGGUGAGUAACACGUGGGUGACCUGCCCUGCACUUCGGGAUAAGCCUGGGAAACUGGGUCUAAUACCGGAUAGGACCAUGGUGUGGAUACUGUGGUGGAAAGUUUUUUCGGUGUGGGAUGGGCCCGCGGCCUAUCAGCUUGUUGGUGGGGUAAUGGCCUACCAAGGCGGCGACGGGUAGCCGGCCUGAGAGGGUGGACGGCCACAUUGGGACUGAGACACGGCCCAGACUCCUACGGGAGGCAGCAGUGGGGAAUGUUGCACAAUGGGCGGAAGCCUGAUGCAGCGACGCCGCGUGGGGGAUGACGGCCUUCGGGUUGUAAACUCCUUUCACCAUCGACGAAGGGUUUCUGACGGUAGAUGGAGAAGAAGCACCGGCUAACUACGUG
rnacentral:rRNA from 1 species